rnacentral:rRNA from 1 species
CAGUUGGGCACUCUAGCGAGGACUGCCGGUAAUAAACCGGACGGAAGGUCGGGGAGUGACGUCAAAUCAUCAUGCCCCUUAUGACCUGGGCUACACACGUGCUACAAUGGUUGGUACAACGAGUUGCGAGUCGGUGACGGCGAGCUAAUCUCUUAAAGCCAAUCUCAGUUCGGAUUGUAGGCUGCAACUCGCCUACAUGAAGUCGGAAUCGCUAGUAAUCGCGGAUCAGCACGCCGCGGUGAAUACGUUCCCGGGCCUU